rnacentral:rRNA from 1 species
GACGAACCGAGCGAACGUUGUUCGGAAUCACUGGGCGUAAAGGGGUGCGAGUAGGCGGGUCUUUAAGUCAGGGGUGAAAUCCGUGGAAGCUCAACUCCAGAACUGCCUUCGAUACUGGCGAUCUUGAGUCCGGAAGAGGUGAGUGGAACUCCUAGUGUAGAGGUGGAAUUCGUAGAUAUUAGGAAGAACACCAGUGGCGAAGGCGGCUCACUGGUCCGGUACUGACGCUGAGGUGCGAAAGCGUGGGGGAGCAAACAGGG